rnacentral:rRNA from 1 species
GGACGAACGCUGGCGGCGUGCUUAACACAUGCAAGUCGAGCGGUAAGGCCCUUUCGGGGGUACACGAGCGGCGAACGGGUGAGUAACACGUGGGUGACCUGCCCUCAGCUCUGGGAUAAGCCUGGGAAACCGGGUCUAAUACUGGAUAUGACUCCAUGACGCAUGUUGUGGGGUGGAAAGCCUUGUGCGGCUGAGGAUGGGCCCGCGGCCUAUCAGCUUGUUGGUGGGGUGAUGGCCUACCAAGGCGACGACGGGUAGCCGGCCUGAGAGGGCGACCGGCCACACUGGGACUGAGACACGGCCCAGACUCCUACGGGAGGCAGCAGUGGGAAUCUUGCGCAAUGGGCGAAAGCCUGACGCAGCGACGCCGCGUGAGGGAUGACGG